UACGGGGGGGGCAAGCGUUGUUCGGAAUUACUGGGCGUAAAGGGCUCGUAGGUGGCCAACUAAGUCAGACGUGAAAUCCCUCAGCUUAACUGGGGAACUGCGUCUGAUACUGGAUGGCUUGAGUUUGGGAGAGGGAUGCGGAACUCCAGGUGUAGCGGUGAAAUGCGUAGAUAUCUGGAGGAACACCGGUGGCGAAGGCGGCAUCCUGGACCAACACUGACACUGAGGAGCGAAAGCCAGGGGAGCAAACGGG
rnacentral:rRNA from 1 species